rnacentral:rRNA from 1 species
UACGUAGGGAGCAAGCGUUGUCCGGAAUCAUUGGGCGUAAAGCGCGCGUAGGUGGCCUCAUAAGUCCGCUGUGAAAGUCAAAGGCUCAACCUUUGAAAGCCGGUGGAUACUGUGGGGCUAGAGUACGGAAGAGGCGAGUGGAAUUCCUGGUGUAGCGGUGAAAUGCGCAGAUAUCAGGAGGAACACCAAUUGCGAAGGCAGCUCGCUGGGACGUAACUGACGCUGAGACGCGAAAGCGUAGGGAGCAAACAGG